rnacentral:rRNA from 1 species
UGCCGCCCUGAAGGGCGUAUGGUGGAUGCCUUGGCAGACAGUACCGAUGAAGGACGUUUGAGGAUGCGAUAAGCCUCGGGGAGCCUCCAACAUGGCUUCGAUCCGAGGAUUUCCGAAUGGGGCAACCCGCCGGCCGUCAUGGGCCGGCACGGAACCUUGUUGUUCCGGGGGUACGCAGGGAAGUGAAACAUCUCAGUACCUGCAGGAAGGGAUACUCCGUGAGUAGUGGCGAGCGAAAGCGGAUCAGACCAAACCAUGGGCGCGUGAUACCCGUCGGGGGUUGCGUUCGUGGUGUUGCGGGAGCGUGUGUCCCGGUUCCGACGGACCGGGCGGGAGUCAUAAAACGGCUUGCCAGGGGAACAGGCUUGAAGGCCUGGCCGCAGAGGGUGCCAGCCCCGUACCUGGAAGCUUGCCGUCUUCCGAUCAUGUGUCCCAAGUAGCGCGGGCCUCGUGGAAUCCCGUGUGAAUCGGCCCCGACCGUGGGGUAAGUCUAAGCAUACCUGUCUGACCGAUAGCGUACCAGUACCGUGAGGGAAAGGUGAAAAGCACCCCGGGAGGGGAGUGAAAGAGUUCCUGAAACCGUGCGCCUACAAUCCGUCGGAGCCUCCUUGUGGGGUGACGGCGUGCCUAUCGAAAAAUGAGUCUGCGAGUCAGUGGUGCGUGGCGAGGCUAACCCGUGGUGGGGGAGCCGUAGCGAAGGCGAGUCUCAAAAGGCGUUUUGAGUCGCGCGCCCUGGACCCGAAGCGGGAUGAUCUAGCCCUGGGCAGGUUGAAGCGCGGGUAAGACCGCGUGGAGGACCGAACCCACCUGGGUUGAAAACCGGGGGGAUGACCUGGGGCUAGGGGUGAAAGGCCAAUCAAAUUCCGUGAUAGCUGGUUCUCUCCGAAAUGCAUUUAGGUGCAGCGUCGGUUGAUUGCAUCGCGGGGGUAGAGCUACUGGAUGCUUGCGGGCCCGUGUCGGGUACCAAUAGCAGCCAAACUCCGAAUACCGUGGAUGUGUAUUCCGGCAGUGAGUCGGCGGGGGAUAAGCUCCGUCGUCGAGAGGGAGACAGCCCAGAUCGUCGUCUAAGGUCCCGAAGCGUGUGCUAAGUGGGAAAGGAUGUGGAGUCGCAUAGACAGCCAGGAGGUUGGCUCAGAAGCAGCCAUCCUUGAAAGAGUGCGUAACAGCUCACUGGUCUAGUGGUUCCGCGCCGACAAUGUAGCGGGGCUCAAGCACACCACCGAAGACGCGGCAGCGGCCUUUGCGGCCGUUGGGUAGGAGAGCGUCCCGCGUGGGGCGAAGCGGCCGGGGAACCGUGCCGUGGACCGCGCGGGAGUGAGAAUGCAGACAUGAGUAGCGAGAGACGGGUGAGGAUCCCGUCCGCUGGAUGACCAAGGGUUCCGGGGCCACGUUCGUCGUCCCCGGGUGAGUCGGGUCCUAAGGCGAGGCCGACAGGCGUAGUCGAAUGGAUGAACGGGUGGAUAUUCCCGUACCGGCGGCGUACCGUAAGAGCCGAACGGAUGAGUACUAACCUCCGGUCGCGUGGCGUCGUUCCCUUCGGGGUUCGGGGCGCGUGGCUGUUGGGAGCGUAGUCCUGGUAGGCUAGCGCACAGGGGUGACACGGAAUGGGAGCCGGCCGCGGAGGUGGUUUUCCGUGGUCAAGCACGCAGCCCGUCCCAUAGGCAAAUCCGUGGGACGCAUAGGGUGAGGUGUGAUGAUGGGCGCCUUUUUGGCGCGAUAUCCGGUGGUCCAGGCCGUCGAGAAAAGCCUCGGCGCGAGGGGCGUCGCCGCCCGUACCCCAAACCGACACUGGUGGUCAGGUAGAGAAUACCAAGGCGAUCGAGCGAAUCCUGGUCAAGGAACUCGGCAAAUCACUCCCGUGCCUUCGGUAUAAGGGAGACCCCCGGGCGUGAAGAGGCUUGCCCUCGGAGCGUUGGGGGGUGGCACAGACCAGGGGGUAGCGACUGUUUACCAAAAACACAGGUGCAUGCGAAGGCGCAAGCCGCUGUAUAUGCACUGACGCCUGCCCGGUGCCGGAAGGUUAAGAGGAUCCGUCAGCCCCUUUUGGGGUGAAGCGGUGAAUUCAAGCCCCGGUAAACGGCGGUGGUAACUAUAACCAUCCUAAGGUAGCGAAAUUCCUUGUCGGGUAAGUUCCGACCUGCACGAAUGGCGUAACGA